CAGUCGCCACGGUAAUACGAAGGGGGCUAGCGUUGCUCGGAAUGACUGGGCGUAAAGGGCGCGUAGGCGGCGAUCAAAGUCAGGCGUGAAAUUCCUGGGCUCAACCUGGGGGCUGCGUUUGAUACUUGAUUGCUAGAGUGGGGAAGAGGUCGUGGAAUUCCCAGUGUAGAGGUGAAAUUCGUAGAUAUUGGGAAGAACACCGGUGGCGAAGGCGGCGACCUGGUCCUUGACUGACGCUGAGGCGCGAAAGCGUGGAGAGCAAACAGGAUUAGAUACCCCCGUAGUCCCUGUCUCUUAUACA
rnacentral:rRNA from 1 species